rnacentral:rRNA from 1 species
UACGGAGGAUGCGAGCGUUAUCCGGAUUUAUUGGGUUUAAAGGGUGCGUAGGUUGUUUUUUAAGUCAGCGGUGAAAGUUUGUGGCUCAACCAUAAAAUUGCCGUUGAAACUGGAAGACUUGAGUGUGUUUGAGGCAGGCGGAAUGCGCGGUGUAGCGGUGAAAUGCAUAGAUAUCGCGCAGAACCCCGAUUGCGAAGGCAGCCUGCCGGCCCCACACUGACGCUGAGGCACGAAAGCGUGGGUAUCGAACAGG